rnacentral:rRNA from 1 species
CCUACGGGAGGCUGCAGUGGGGAAUAUUGCUCAAUGGGCGCAAGCCUGAUCCAGCAACGCCGCGUGAAGGAAGAAGGCUUUCGGCUUGUAAACUUCUAUUCACAGGGACGAAAGGAAUGACGGUACCUGAAUAAGAAGCCCCGGCUAACUACGUGCCAGCAGCCACGGUAAUACGUCGGGGGCAAGCGUUCUCCGGAAUUACUGGGUGUAAAGGGUGAGUAGGCGGGAUGGUAAGGCAGGUGGGAAAGGCUUGGGCUUAACCCUAAGAUUGCAUUUGAAACUAUCAAGCUAGAGUACAGGAGAGGAAAGCGGAAUUCGUGGUGUAGCGGUGAAAUGCGUAGAUAUAAGGAAGAACACCAGUGGCGAAGGCGGCUUUCUGGACUGAAACUGACGCUGAGGCACGAAAGCGUGGGUAGCGAACAGGAUUAGAUACCCGUGUAGUC